rnacentral:rRNA from 1 species
GAUGAACGCUGGCGGCGUGCCUAAUACAUGCAAGUCGAGCGACCGGACGAGAAGCUUGCUUUUCUGAUGUUGGCGGCGGGCGGGUGAGUAACACGUGGGUAACCUACCUAUAAUACUGGGAUAACUUCGGGGAACCGGAGCUAAUACCGGCUAAUAUUUUGAACCGCAUGGUUCACAAGUGAAAGACGGUCUUGCUGUCACUUAUAGAUGGAUCCGCGCUGCAUUAGCUAGUUGGUAAGGUAACGGCUUACCAAGGCAACGAUGCAUGGCCGACCUGAGAGGGUGAUCGGCCACACUGGAACUGAGACACGGUCCAGACUCCUACGGGACGCAGCAGUAGGGAAUCGUCCGCAAGGGGCGGAAGGCUGACGGAGCAACGCCGCGUGAGGGAUGAAGGUCUUCGGAUCGUAAAACUCUGUUAUUAGGGAAGAACAUAUGUGUAAGUAACUGUGCACAUCUUGAAGGUACCUAAUGAGAAAGCCACGGCUAACUACGUG